GAUAUCAUCAUAUAUAGUUGAUUAGAAAUAGGGAAUAAAUUAUGUGGAAUCACACUUUCUUUUUCACACUUGUCAGUAGAUUGUUCCAAUUCUGCAAUCUGCAACAGGUAAAAAAGUAUUACUGAAUUUUCACUUAAAAGCUCAUUUUCUGUUCUUAGAGUAGUAUGUUAAAUUAUUAAUUGUACCUGUUUCUCCAACAGCUCAUUUUCCGUUCUUAGAGUAAGUUCCUGUUCGAAGUGGCAAAGAUAAAAAAAAACAAAGAGUUAACAAACCAUGUAUGUGGAUUUUAUUUUACCAUGUUUGUACUUUAUCAGAGAUAUUUUAGAGUGAAAUGCUAG
rnacentral:lncRNA from 1 species